UACGAAGGGGCGUAGCGUUGUUCGGAAUUACUGGGCGUAAAGGGCGCGUAGGCGGUCCGCUCAGUCAGAAGUGAAAGCCCCGGGCUCAACCUGGGAAUUGCUUUUGAUACUGGUGGACUUGAGUUCCGGAGAGGAUGGUGGAAUUCCCAGUGUAGAGGUGAAAUUCGUAGAUAUUGGGAAGAACACCGGUGGCGAAGGCGGCCAUCUGGACGGACACUGACGCUGAGGCGCG
rnacentral:rRNA from 1 species